rnacentral:tRNA from 1 species
GCCGGAAUAGCUCCAACUGGUAGAGCGCGUCACUCGUAACGACGAUGUUCGCGGUUCGACCCCGCGUUCCGGCACCA